rnacentral:rRNA from 1 species
UACGUAGGGUGCAAGCGUUAAUCGGAAUUACUGGGCGUAAAGCGUGCGCAGGCGGUUUUGUAAGUCUGUCGUGAAAGCCCCGGGCUCAACCUGGGAAUUGCGAUGGAGACUGCAAGGCUUGAAUCUGGCAGAGGGGGGUAGAAUUCCACGUGUAGCAGUGAAAUGCGUAGAUAUCGGAAGGAACACCAGUGGCGAAAGCGGCUUCCUGGUCCAGCACCGACGUCAGGCACGAAAGCGUGGGGAGCAAACAGGG